rnacentral:rRNA from 1 species
GACGAACGCUGGCGGCGUGCUUAACACGUGCAAGUCGAACGGUGAAGCCCUUCGGGGUGGAUCAGUGGCGAACGGGUGAGUAACACGUGGGUGACCUGCCUUCGAGCGGGGGAUAACGUCCCGAAAGGGACGCUAAUACCGCAUAACAUCCUGCCUUUUAAGAGGUGGAGAUCAAAGGCCGGGGAUCGCAAGACCUGGCACUUGAAGGACGGGGCCCGCGCCUGAUUAGCUAGUUGGUGGGGUAA